ACCAAAUGUGAUACUUAGGGACCUUCAUUAAGUGUUUUAGUGUUAACCAACACAUCUUUAACAUAAAAAUAAAAUAAAGUGUGGUAUCUCCUGCAUCUAUGCACAGACUGAACUUAUGUGGAAGUAUUUUAAGGCAUGGAGUAGUGCUAUAAUUUUGCUAAGGUUACACAAAGAAUCGGGGAUUUUCCCAGCUAUCCUGUUUUUAUCUGAUUGUUGGCCAUAUGAUUAUAUUUUCCAGCUGUCAUCACUAUUUUUAAAUAGGCAUUUUGGAACCUGCCUCUGCUCUGUGAAUCAAAAUACUUGUCUAAGACUGUUUAGAUGUUGAUCAGUCAUGAAGUUAGGGACAUGAAUUCAGGAUGUUUCUCUUUACUUUCUUCUUCCAUGAGACAAGGUAGUAGUUUAGAACUGGCAGCUGUUGACCAGGCAAAGUGAUGAUCCCUUCUGUUAUAGAUGCAUAAUUAUUUGUGCGACACAACUCACUGGAAAUCCUUGCCAAUCAUGGCAGUUUUUUUUCUUCAUAGCUGAAUCCCUCCUCUAAUGAAAACCAGAACUUAACCCAGCAUUCUUUAUUUGCUUGUUGCUCUCUCUCUGCUGAUCUCUCUGUUCUGCUCUUUUUGAGGCUUGCUGUUUUUGCUGGGGGGGGCUGGUUAGCCUGCUCCACCUGAAAUUCCACAUCCUUUCUUUUUCUGAAUCUGAGACUUGUUGCAGAAAUCAGCAACCACACAGGCAGCCAGCUACAGACUCUCACCAGAAUCUGAAUCAGAAGCUUCUGUUCUGAUUAAGGUUGGAGUCAUAGCUUCAUCUUUUUGCACUGUACCAAAAACUAAAUUAUUUUACAGAAAGGCUAUUCCCAUACUCUUCAAGUAUAUUGAACUUACUUCAGGGAACCCACCACAAAGUUAAUUAGCAAGGAUUGGUUGUAGCCCAACUUUUUUAUCAUAGUUUAAGACAUGCCAUGUUUUCCUACCUUUAAUACCAUUUUCUUGCCAGGAUGUUGCACAUCUUUCAGCUGCCAUGGCUUUAAGUUAUUACUUGGCACUUUCUGAUCUUUAAAUGCUCUUCAAAAGGUUUAACCAUUUUUACUCAUGGCUUUCAUAGGAAGCAAUGAACUUUAAAACAAUGAAGUUUAUGGGAAUCCCUCAAAUUAAUUCUAUUGUUUUGGUAGACAUCUAAUUGUUCAGUCUCUCUAGGGAGAAUAAGACAAGUGUCACUGACAAAAUAACUGAGCUCUCAAAGAAAGGAAUGACUUUUUGUGUUCUGUUUUUUUUUUAAUGAAGAAAGUUUAUUGCAGGUCUUUCUUUUACAAUUCUAGUAGAAAGUAUAGCUAAGAGAAAAAAUGAACUAUGACCAAUUCAUAAGAACGAGCAAAGGAAAAGGAUUAAGCUGAAUACAUACUCUAUUGAACUAAGCAUUAUGGUAAAGAGAAAACCUCGUCUGUUUUGUGACUGCAGAUUAAGGAGAGCUGCUUCCCAAUCCUGGUUUCCAGUGCUUGCACCAGGUAGUCUUACCCUGGAGAAAGGUGUGGAUGGGACACUUGUGGUUAGGAUAGAAAAUGGCAAAGCAAAAAGACUUCCUUCACUCCAGUCUUUGUAACAAAUAAAUGUCCACUGCUCAUGUUUACAUCCCAAGUUACUUUAUUUAAAUUCAUAUUAUCUAAACACUACCCUGCCUGCAAGUCAGAUAACAAACUUGAUGGAAAACAACCAUCCUUCCCUCUCUAUCUUCAAAUGUUUGUCUCAUGAUAUUUUACAGUUAGUCCACUAAAAAAUUCUUUGAAAAUUUGCCUCUUCAAGUUUAGUAGAAACUUGACUGAAAAUAGAGGCAUUGGAAUAGAAGGCAAAUAGAAGUUUUCUUCCCUUGUCUGCCUCUCCCACUUUUCUGAAAAUUCCCAUCAGAAGAACAGAACAGGGCCUGCUGGUGGACGUGAGGCCAGGUAUCUGUUCCCCACCUCACUGCUCAUAUAAAAAUAUGGUUAGCUACACCAUAAGUUAGUCUAUCUAGAGCCCAAGGCUGUGUGAAAUAGAGUUAAUUAUUGACACAGAGAACUUAAAAAACCACCUAGCAUUCCUGGAGUCUUUCCCCUACUGCUGUUCCCAAGAUGUGGCUCAUUUUCCCCCUGUGAGAGAGAAGAUGAGACCUGUCUGGGGCUUUCAUGAGAGGUGCACACAAACUGAAAACAGUCAUGGGAAAUGAAGAAAUCUGUGGCCAGAGUGUGGGGAGCUUCAGUUGGAUUUGUUUUCCCCAGUCCUACGCACCAGGCUGAUCCCCAGCAAGCUCAGGAGAAGGCAGCGUGGGGGACCAGAGUGGCUCAGGAGCAGCAGGGAGGAGGGGCUCGGACCCAGCCUCACGAGGAUCAGCAGCUGCAGCAGCAAUUGCAGAAAUUUUCUCCAUUCCAGCUCUACCAGAGUCCUGACAGCGCUUGCUGCAGAAAAUCUGACUCUCUUUAUCUAGAGCUGUGUUCUACAAACAAACAAAACAAACCCAAGGCAAAACAUGAAACAACAGUUAAAUACAGCCCUGUCUUAAGGCUUAAAACAAUCUACAAGACAUAAACUGCAUGCAAUACAGCCAGGUUAAAAAAGGAGAAAUAACAUUAGAAAUCUUUAAUAAAAUGAAUUGUAUAAUUUUGUGAUGCUGACUUUAGGAAAUGCAAGGAAAACUUCUCUUCCAGAUGUAUGCUUGCCAUGACAUUGCAGGUUUAAAAUUUGUCUUGCAAGUCUGAUGUGGAAAAAAAGAUGGCACAAGUGGUUGUGAUAGUGAAGGAACUUGUCAUAGUAACUAUCAGCAAAAUUUAUGUGCCUGUGCUUCUGCAGACACAAGGAGUCAGUUGAUGCUUACUGAGAACUCAGUGCUACAAUUCCUGUAAAAAACUACAUGGUACAAAAGGGGAGCCCCUGGGAGGGUGACAGAACUUUUUUUUUAUUUUUUCAAGAAAAGGGCCUGCAUUUCUGCUUAGUGGUGAGAGUAGGAAAAUGACCUCUCAUGGUUGCAAAAAAGGCAUAAUUUCUGAAUUCUGCACUUAAAAAUGAGUUUACAGGAGAAGGGAGCAACAGGUUGUAAUGGAAACUGAGAAUUGCAGAGUGAAUAGGUUGAUUAUCUGGAGUAUGUGGUACAUCUGUUGAAGACAACAUUUUCCAUACCUUCAAAGAUAUGUGCUAAUUGUAAAGGUCAGGUGCUUUACCUUUUCCUCAAAAAUUUAUUCCUUUGAUUGGGCUUGCUUUACUAAUGUGAAAAUUUAUGUGGUUUUGGUUGUGUUUGACCAAUACACUAUUCACUGAAGUAUUUAAUACUGAAAUAAUUUUCUGACACAAGUCAAAUUUAGCAGGGUUCAUUUUUUUUCAGAUGUGUUUAUUGUAUCAAAGUCAUCAAGGACAGCAGAUACAAGGUACUUGCCCUCUUUUUUGUUGUUGUUGUUAACUCGUUACAUCACUAGCCACCCUGCAUAGUGAGGUACAAGGAGAAAAUUCCAUACUCCACAACUGAGUUUCUACUACUGACACACUGAAAAGGGAGCAUGCAAGGAAAGGAGCAGCAGAAUUGGGUCUGAGCUUUUGAGAUUAGUGAUGGUCUAAAGGAGUUUUAUCAUUAUCAAGGCACCAUUGCAUUGCCUUUUUUCUUGCUGGAAAAAGUUGUAAAUAGGGGUUUCUGCUAUUUCAGUGGCAGGUAAAGUUAUUUAAAAGGAGAAGGACAUGCUUUCAGUUCAUGCUGACAGUGAUUUUUCUCCUGUGUUGUCCUCAUAGCAGCAAUACAGCUCUAUGUAAUGUAUCUUAGGGUUUUCUUUUUUAAUUUUACUGUUGCUAAGCAUCAAUGUUUUUUAUUUAUCUAGGACUGAUUAUCACUUGUCUGGCUCUAAAAGAAGUGUCAAUUUUAAAUAGAAACACUGUUUAGUUCUUUGCUUCUGUCUUCAAAAGGUUCUCAUCCUUUUCUAGCUGUUUUUAGAUACAAGAUGGAUAUAGACAUGCACAAAGUGGCUGCUGGGAGAAUAAACCAAGACAUGUCUGAGGAAGUAAAAAAUUGUUGUAUUGGUGUUUGCUAAGCCUAUUUCAGAUAUGCAUUGCUCAAGACAGAACCAUGUUUUCCUAAGUGUUUAAAAGGUAUUCCUUUGCUGGUUUGGUGUGGCUGUACAGCUUUUUCCACUUCAGACUGGCUUAGUUAUUUCUCCUUUCUUGUUACAAAUGGAGAUCAUGUACUUUUUGUGCAGCAGAACAAAGCAUCGCCGUUAGUACGUACCAUUGCCUUGGACCUACUCAGAGGAAAGCAAUGCAGGCAUUGGGAAAGGAGGAAAAAAGGAAGAAAGCAAGGGACAGAAACUAGACUUACUUUAAGCAGAACUAACACAAUUGCAACAAAUUCAGAUUUACAGAACAUUUCUUAAUUGACCAAAAAAAAUCAGUACUGAAUUAAGAGCAACAUGCUUUUGGGGGCAGCAGGAGCCUCCUGUGCAAGGACACUGAACUUGGGGAUGUGCAGUUUUACUUAUCUGCCACAGGAUGGUAUUAUCUGCAUGGGCCAGGUGACAGUGUUGGAAUGAGGUGAUGCUAAAGGGGCUCCAGUGAAUGUGCAGGUGGACUGAGAGCAAUGCACUGCAAUACACGAGAGUUACAAAGUGGGCUUGUCUGAAGCUGAAUGUUGGUAAGCAAUGAGUGCUGGAGCAAGUGAAGAACUUCUGAACACAAAGAUAACUGAAUUUCAAUGCUCAAGGUAAACCAGGGCAAGAAUAACAAAUUGGGGGCUUAAUCCUCAUUAGAUCACAGUGUUUUGAACAAGAUUUUAUUUUUCCUUUCAGCAUUAACUGGGAGCUGCAUUCAGCAAUUAAUAAGCAUUUACAUCCUUCCAUACCUGUUAGAAGGAAAUAAAGCAGGAAAAGGUAAAAUGAGGUGAACUUUCCUGGCUGAAGGAGUGUCAGUAGCUAACAGAAAAAACUCAAAUCAAUAGGAAGCCAAAGCUACACUGUGUCAGAGAUCUGAGACAGGCUUAAGUGGCAUGCAAGUUGGAGAGGGGCUGAGAGUUAGAAUUAAAAUUGCUCUUAUUACGUAUAGUGCAUUUUAUACCAGUUUUCAGCUUCAGGCUUAUCCAUAGUCUCAACAGUAUAAUGAAUGAAACUCUGAAGUCCCUCUCAAACUGUCAAGUCAAACUGUCAAAUGAAAUGUAGACAAGAGCAUGAACCUGAAAUCCAUUUCCUGACUUAUUUUUAUGUUAGCACUUUUCCUACAUUUAAAUUGUUUGCCUAUUUAACUCACAUAAGUGUAUUUGCAAAGACAGAGAUGUAGGCAAAAACAUUUUAUUUAAAUGUACUGGUUCUCGGAUAAUUAAAACAAUUAUUCUUGUUAACAUAAGUGGUCUGGUCUUUGAAAAUAAUUAACACUAAUUAAUGCUAAAGGGAGGGUGAGGGUGGAAGUCCCUGUUACAUUACCAUGGAUGGUUUUACUUUCUUUCUUUUUACUGAAGAUACAUUUUGUGUACAGUGUCCAUCCUUGCGUCAGACAAGGAAGGGCCCUAGUAAGAUCAGGAAGAAAGGAAGUUUCUGGAAUAGAGCUUGGUUUCCUGGCACAGGUAGUGUUGAACAACACUAUGCUCAAGAUGAAGCAAUACUUGGUCAGGCACAGAGGUAGACUGUACUUAACUACAUGGGCAAUAAGAUAAAAAAACUGUUUUUAUAAUGAAAGAUUUCAAAUUGUUAAUAAACUUCAUUUUAACAUA